AGCCAGAGGGGGAACAUGCUGCUGCUCCUGGGAGCUACUGGAGUGAAAAUGUAUGAAAUAUUGAAAAUGUGCAGUUUACUACUACAAAGAUGGGACUAUAGCAGGCUGGCAUCUCUACAAGGGCAGAAUUAAGGUAAUUUGUCUACCAUUGGUGUGAAUGUUUAUACUUACAAAUGUUAUAGCUUCUUGUACAUCUAGUCUAAAUUUAGAAUGAGUCUGACUUUAUAUACCUACUUCUAUACCAUAUUCUUUUAAGAAUUGUUACCUUUAAAUUAUUGACAUGUACCAUUAAUCUUAACUUCACUUUGAAGUAUUUUGUCCAGGAAUUUUACAUAGUUUACUGCUGUUCCCCACCCACUGCACAAAAUUCAGGAAUAUUUGCUAUGGAUAUGAACAGGCAGCAAAACAAUUACAAAGCAUUUUGUGAUCUUAAAAUUCUUUACUUAC